rnacentral:rRNA from 1 species
CCCUACGGGGGGCAGCAGUGGGGAAUAUUGGACAAUGGGCGCAAGCCUGAUCCAGCCAUGCCGCGUGUGUGAAGAAGGCCUUCGGGUUGUAAAGCACUUUUGUUAGGGAAGAAAAGCCGUUGGUUAAUACCCGAUGGUGAUGACGGUACCUAAAGAAUAAGCACCGGCUAACUUCGUGCCAGCAGCCGCGGUAAUACGAAGGGUGCAAGCGUUACUCGGAAUUACUGGGCGUAAAGCGUGCGUAGGUGGUUUGUUAAGUCAGAUGUGAAAGCCCCGGGCUCAACCUGGGAAUUGCAUUUGAUACUGGCUAACUAGAGUGAGGUAGAGGAGAGUGGAAUUCCCGGUGUAGCAGUGAAAUGCGUAGAGAUCGGGAGGAACAUCAGUUGCGAAGGCGGCUCUCUGGACCAUCACUGACACUGAGGCACGAAAGCGUGGGGAGCAAACAGGAUUAGAUACCCCGGUAGU